CUGAAAUUUAUUUGUAAUUCGUUCAUAGUUUAUCAGCCUUUGUGCAAAGUAUUUGAGUCCCUCUUAUUGGAAUGCUUUUUACUUGCUUUAUAUUUAGAAAAUAUUAUUCCUAAAAGUAGCACUACUCCAGAAUAUUUACUCAUAAUAAAUUGUUUCCUGCAAUCUUGUUCGGAAAAGAAAUUUGUAGCUUUACUUUGGUAAAUUAAAUGAGCUGUAUAUAAAAGUACAGAGAACUGGUAUUCCAGCUUUUUGGAUUAACAUUCUUUACAAAGUAAUUGAAACUUACUCCUAAAUUUGCAAAUAUGCCUGCAGAUGACGCAAAUAUUCCAGAAACUAUUGCAUUGAUAAACAAACGACUUCCUGUAGCUUCAUUCCUAAGGGAGAUAUAAAGAAUAAUUGAGGUAAAAAUACUCACCAUUUUAAUGCAGUCGAGAACAAUCCAAUUUGUUUGUCAAAUAACCUAUCUUGAUGCGCAUAGAUUGUAUCAUAAUGUACGCUCCAACAAACAGAAGAAAGGUAAUAUGAAAUCGGACAUAACCACGAGCUCCGAUAUGGGUUAAUACAACCAUAUAUAGAGGUCCAAGCAAGCAAUACGCCCCAAUUAAAUGUAAAACCUAGAAAUAGCUGGGGGUAAUGCGUUAUCCUUUUCAUAAAAGGGUAUGCUGCUAUUAAGAAUACAGAAGGAAUACCUAAAUAAAUUGUGUAUCUGUUAAGUCUAGACAAAACAAUCGCUGAAGUUGUAGAAGACCCAAUGAGAGCAAUUAGCGCUAAACUAGAAUGAAAAUAGUAAAACCAAACUUGUGUAAUUUACCUUUGGUAAAAGCCAUUUCUCCGUUAGCAAGCGGUCUAUUCUUUGUUCUCUCAACCUGAAAGCAGAUGAUAAUGAAUAAAGAAAGUAUGGAAAACAACCUUUGAAUCAAAUUGGCGAUCUGCCAAAUCAUUUAUUACGCAUCCUGCGCUCCUAGAAGCUACUGACCCAAGUGCAAACAAUGCGGUAAUGUUCGCUUUUGGUAGCAAUGAGUUAGAUGCAAGGGUCAAGCUCCCAAAAGUAGGAAUAAAGAGAAGCCAAAAUCCCGUGGGGUUGUUAAUUCUAUACAACUUAAUAUAGUGUUUAAAGUUCAUUUUACAUAUCCCCCUACUUGUUCUAAAUACGCUUUGUAUACAUGUCUUUGAAAAGCUUGAGUUGAUAAAUCCAUAAUUCGGUCGAAUAGUAUUCAUUAUUAGGCACAAUUUUUUAAAUAUAUGAUGUAAUUCUCAUUUUAC
rnacentral:antisense_RNA from 1 species